GGGUAGUCCAAGUGCAGUGGUAUUUAUGACAAAUUGAUUAUAACCAGUUACAGAUUUCUUUGUUCCUUCUCCACUCCCACUGCUUCACUUGACUUGCUUAAG
ensembl:misc_RNA Y_RNA Y RNA